AUGGCUGGAAUAGGUGACUAUGAAUUGUUUAUUGGCAAAAGCACAACAUGUUUCUUUAGUGUGAAGGAUUAUUCAGACUUGAUGCCCAACCAUGUAUAUUUUACUGAUGAUAAUCAUGAGGAACUAGUCACCGGGAAAGAUGAUACCCGUGACAUAGGAGUGUACAACUUGGAAAAUAAUACCACAGGUAAUGUGGUUUAUCCUGAACCCUGGCAGAUGUGGUUCCCACCAAUAUGGUUGACACCCAACCUUGCAAAGAAAGGUACUGUUUCAACCUCUCCUCAGUUUCUACAUUCUAAAUGCUACUUCUUGUGUAUUCCAUUUUCGACAGCAACCAUUCUCUCAUUUAAUUUUUCAGUGCUUUAA
rnacentral:rRNA from 1 species